rnacentral:rRNA from 1 species
CCUACGGGUGGCAGCAGUGAGGAAUAUUGGUCAAUGGGCGCGAGCCUGAACCAGCCAAGUAGCGUGAAGGAUGACUGCCCUACGGGUUGUAAACUUCUUUUAUAAAGGAAUAAAGUGAGGCACGUGUGCCUUUUUGUAUGUACUUUAUGAAUAAGGAUCGGCUAACUCCGUGCCAGCAGCCGCGGUAAUACGGAGGGUCCGAGCGUUAUCCGGAUUUAUUGGGUGUAAAGGGAGCGUAGAUGGGUUGUUAAGUCAGUUGUGAAAGUUUGCGGCUCAACCGUAAAAUUGCAAUUGAUACUGGCAGUCUUGAGUACAGGAGAGGUAGGCGGAAUUCGUGGUGUAGCGGUGAAAUGCUUAGAUAUCAGGAAGAACUCCGGUUGCGAAGGCAGCUUACUAGACUGCAACUGACAUUGAUGCUCGAAAGUGUGGGUAGCAAACAGGAUUAGAUACCCCUGUAGUC